rnacentral:tRNA from 1 species
GAAGGUAUAGCUUAGUGGUAGAAUACAUGUUUAGCAUGCAUGAGGUCCGGGGUUCAACCCCCAGUACCUCCA